UUGGAAUGAAAUGGGUAUAAAAUGUACAUCCCAUUUUGGGGCGUACCCAUGGUAUUGCUAUGUGUAGCAUUCCUCAUAAAGUAAAUGCUCUCUAUACAUUCCUAAAAGGUGUAUAUAGGGAUGUCAAUGGAUACGGAUAUCUGAAAUUUUAUUUGAACCCGAAUCCGAACGGAGUGAAUUUAUACGAUGCUAAAUGAAUAUGUUUUCGAUUAUAAAUAUCAAAAGCAAAAACCUGACGAAUAUGAGUACGGAUAUGGAUUUUGACUGUAUCCGACCUGAACUCGAACCCGAACCCGAACCCGAACCCGAACCCGACCCGAAUAUGAAUUUAUUUUAUAUUAUAUAUAAUAUGUAUAUGAAAAUUUGAUGUGAUAUUUUGAAUUUGUAUUUUAAAAAUUUAGAUUUAAUAUAAUAUAUUUUAAAAUAUUGAAAAGAGAAAUAAUUGUUUCGGGUUCGAAUUUUCAGGUUCGGGUUCGGGUUUUUAGCCGGGUUCGGGUUUGGAUAUGAAUUUUUAAAAUCCGUCGGAUUUGGAUUUUGGAUAUGGAGUCAGGUUCAGGUUUGGAUUUUUAAAAAUUCACCCCAAAUUUGAU
rnacentral:lncRNA from 1 species